GAAGCGGUGGCUCAAUGGUAGAGCUUUCGACUCCAGUUAAAAUCUGGAAUAUCCGGAAAAUUGCAAUCGAAGGGUUGCAGGUUCAAUUCCUGUCCGUUUCA
rfam:Kazachstania africana CBS 2517 chromosome 1, complete genome